GCCGCCAUAGCUCAGUCGGUUAGAGCGUGGGUCUAAUAAGCCCAAGCUCGGAGGUUCGACCUCUGCUGGCGGCA
rfam:Toxocara canis scaffold392, whole genome shotgun sequence.